rnacentral:misc_RNA from 1 species
UUGGGGUCGCUUUCUCGGCACCGCGACUUGGUCAGCAUCAGUGUUCUCGGGGUUUCGACAGCGUAUAGUGUGUUUGAAACGCUAAGUGCCUUUUUCCGGUUUUCUUCCCUCCUAAGCAAAUAACAAAAACACAAACACCAUGGACGCCAUCAAGAAGAAGAUGCAAGCGAUGAAGCUUGAGAAGGAUAAUGCCAUUGAUAAGGCAGAUACCUGCGAGAAUCAAGCUAAGGAUGCCAACUCCCGUGCCGACAAACUCAAUGAGGAGGUGCGCGACUUGGAGAAGAAAUUUGUUCAGGUUGAGGUCGAUUUGGUCACCGCCAAGGAGCAGCUGGAGAAGGCCAACACCGAAUUGGAGGAGAAGGAGAAACUGUUGACCGCCACGGAAUCCGAGGUAGCCACCUUGAACCGUAAGGUGCAACAGAUUGAGGAGGAUUUGGAGAAAUCUGAGGAGCGCUCAACCACCGCACAACAGAAGCUGUUGGAGGCCACACAGUCGGCCGAUGAGAACAACCGUAUGUGCAAAGUAUUGGAGAACCGUUCCCAGCAGGAUGAGGAGCGUAUGGAUCAGUUGACCAACCAAUUGAAGGAAGCUCGCAUGCUUGCUGAGGAUGCCGAUACCAAGUCCGAUGAGGUCUCCCGCAAGCUGGCCUUCGUUGAAGACGAGCUCGAAGUGGCUGAGGAUCGUGUCCGCUCCGGUGAAUCCAAGAUCAUGGAGCUGGAGGAAGAACUGAAGGUUGUCGGCAACUCGCUGAAAUCUUUGGAAGUGUCCGAGGAGAAGGCCAACCAGCGCGUUGAGGAAUUCAAGCGUGAGAUGAAGACCUUGUCUAUCAAGUUGAAGGAGGCCGAACAGCGCGCCGAACAGGCUGAGAAGCAAGUCAAGCGCCUGCAGAAGGAAGUCGACAGGCUAGAAGACCGUCUCUUCCAUGAGAAAGAAAAAUACAAAGCAAUCUGCGACGAUUUGGACCAGACAUUUGCUGAACUUACUGGAUAUUAAAAACCAAACAAGAAAAACCAAUUGCCAAACAGUUCCCAUAAUGACAUACACACACACACUGACAUGCGUCCAAACACAUACAUAUACACGCACAUACAGAGACACAAGCAAAUGUAUUCCCCUAUCAUAUUUUGCAUUAUUCAUAUCCCCUACUUUUGGACACUGUGCAGAUCAGUCACAAUUUACACUGUAAAUAAUUUGUAUAGUCUUGUGGUUGCUCUCCAACAUACCACCCAGCCCUCAAGAUACUAUUACACUGUAAAAAAAAGAAACAGUUCCACUCUCUAUAUGCCAACUGUAGUUAUUUAUGCUUUCGAAACAACAGACGAGCUGGGCAUCAACAAGGACAGGUACAAGUCUCUGGCCGACGAGAUGGACUCCACAUUCGCCGAAUUGGCUGGCUACUAAACAU